AGUGUUAAGAGAUGGGAAUCGAACCCACGACCUUCCGCUUACCGGGCAGAUGCCAUGACCACUAGGCCACAUGACC
rnacentral:tRNA from 1 species